AUACGUAGGUGGCAAGCGUUAUCCGGAUUUACUGGGUGUAAAGGGCGUGUAGGCGGGGUUUCAAGUCGGAUGUGAAAAGGCAAGGCUCAAAUUUGGUCUGUCAUCCGAAACUGGAGAUCUUGAGUGUCAGAGGGAAGUGGUACUCCCGGUGUAGCGGUGAAAUGCGUAGAUAUCGGGAGGAACACCAGUGGCGAAGGCGACUUCCUGGCACAAUACUGACGCUCAUGUGCGAAAGCUAGGGUAGCGAACGGGAUUAGAUACCCCGGUAGUCCUAGCCGUAAACGAUGGAUACUAGGUGUGGGUGUCGCAGGGCAUCCGUGCCGCAGCUAACGCGUUAAGUAUCCCGCCUGGGGACUACGGUCGCAAGACUGAAACUCAAAGGAAUUGACGGGG
rnacentral:rRNA from 1 species